AAGUCAAGGGGGCUCGCAGGAGCAACCGGGGUACCAAGUGGUAAUAAAGAAGAUCGUACAUCGGAAUCGGGCCUAGCCUCGCGAAAGACGGGGUAUUUCCCGAUAGUCUCCCAGGAGUAAAGGUUUCUCGCAUCCGAGGACGAUUUCUUCAGCUUCAGCUAUUUGGUCGGGCGAUGGCUUACCAAGGCUAUGACGCCGAAGGGACUUGACAGGGUGACCCCCACCGAUUGGACUGAGAUGCGGACCAUACACCUGCGGACUGGCUGCAGACCACAAUUCCUACAAUGGGCGAAAGCCUGAUCUUAUCGACCCCGCGUGCAGGAUGAGAUGCUUCGGUCUGUAAACUCCUUUUGCCACGGAAGAAUUCUAUUGACUGUACCUGGAAAAUAAGAGGUUGCUAAACUCUUGCUCGCAGCAGCGGUAAUACGAUUGCAUCGAGCGUUAUCCGGAAUCAUUGGGCGUACAGGGUGUGUAGGCGGCGUUGUUAGUCUCGUCGUAAAUUCCGUGGCUCAACCGUGGGCUCGCACGAGAAAGGGCAAAUCUUUAGAUUGGCAGGGGUCACGAGAAAUUUAGGUGUAGCGCAGAAAAGCGUUGAUAUAUAGGGGAACACCAAAAGGGAAGGCAGGAUACCGGGCCAUUUCAGAGGCUGUAACACGAAAGAGUGGGUAGAGAAAGCGAUUAGAUAUCCCAGUGGUGCACGCCCUAAAAGAUAAUUUAUCGGUUUGAGGAGUAUCCACCGUCUUAGAGACCAAGCAAACGCGUUAAGAGAUCCGC
rnacentral:rRNA from 1 species